AGAGUUUGAUCAUGGCUCAGGAUGAACGCUGGCGGCGUGCCUAACACAUGCAAGUCGAGCGAUUUACUUCGGUAAAGAGCGGCGGACGGGUGAGUAACGCGUGGGUAACCUGCCUCAUACACAUGGAUAACAUACCGAAAGGUAUGCUAAUACAGGAUAAUAUAAGAGAUUCACAUGGAUUUUUUAUCAAAGCUCCGGCGGUAUGAGAUGGACCCGCGUCUGAUUAGCUAGUUGGUAAGGUAAUGGCUUACCAAGGCGACGAUCAGUAGCCGACCUGAGAGGGUGAUCGGCCACAUUGGAACUGAGACACGGUCCAAACUCCUACGGGAGGCAGCAGUGGGGAAUAUUGCACAAUGGGCGAAAGCCUGAUGCAGCAACGCCGCGUGAGUGAUGAAGGCCUUCGGGUCGUAAAACUCUGUCCUCAAGGAAGAUAAUGACGGUACUUGAGGAGGAAGCCCCGGCUAACUACGUGCCAGCAGCCGCGGUAAUACGUAGGGGGCUAGCGUUAUCCGGAUUUACUGGGCGUAAAGGGUGCGUAGGUGGUUUUUUAAGUCAGGAGUGAAAGGCUACGGCUCAACCGUAGUAAGCUCUUGAAACUGGAAAACUUGAGUGCAGGAGAGGAAAGUGGAAUUCCUAGUGUAGCGGUGAAAUGCGUAGAUAUUAGGAGGAACACCAGUAGCGAAGGCGGCUUUCUGGACUGUAACUGACACUGAGGCACGAAAGCGUGGGGAGCAAACAGGAUUAGAUACCCUGGUAGUCCACGCCGUAAACUAUGAGUACUAGGUGUCGGGGGUUACCCCCUCGGUGCCGCAGCUAACGCAUUAAGUACUCCGCCUGGGGAGUACGCUCGCAAGAGUGAAACUCAAAGGAAUUGACGG
rnacentral:rRNA from 1 species